rnacentral:lncRNA from 13 species
GUGGGAUCCCCCAAAUAGGAAUUCAGUCACUGCCUCUGGCCAAGUGGGGAGCCUUCAUCUGCUUGAGAUGACAAAGAUCUGUGGUCUCUUCACCCAGCUACCUGUUCAUCAUGGUCUGCACCAAAGAAGAUGAAUAGAUGGGCUUAGCUACAGAAAAGCAGCCUCCAUGGACAGGAGGUGAAUGCAUCCUUCUUCUGCAUAUGGUGCUGAGAAUCCAGAGUGCUUGCAAACUUAAUGGGAUAGGUGUAUCCUUCUUCUGCGCUUCACAAUUAAGGAUCUGGAACAUCCCAGCUACCUCCAGGGUUGGCAGCAAGGAAGAUUUAUUAAAAGUAAAUAGGAUCCCUGACAGCUGCUAGACUUACAUUCAGAGCUGGAACCAAGGAUAUGAGAAUAUAUGCUGCCCUGGCAAACCUCUACAGCAGAAUCUGACCUCACUCAAAGGCAAAGCUGCAUGGAAUACUGGAUCCUGCCAUGAACAAGGACAUUCCUGAAGACCCCAGGAUGGCAAAUGUCCUACAUCCUGUCCUCCAGAAUUUAUUGCCAGAUUCUUUCUCCAACCACAGAAGACUAGGAGGACCCUCUACAUCAAUGAUGCUUCAUAUCCAAAGCAUGAGACUUUGAGGUUCUCAGGGAGGAUGUUUGUCUCUUAAUAAUCUUUGACUAUAACAAUGCCUGGAGUAGGAGCCAGACAAACCCAGUUUAAUUUACAGUUUUACCUCUUUCUAGCUUGGUGGUAUUAAGUCAGUCUCUGAGAUCCUCUGUGUCCUUAUUUGCAAGAAAAUAGAAACACAUGCUUCAAAGGGUUGUUGAAGAAUUCCAAUAAAAAUACUGUAUGUAAAGCUUUUAGCUCA